rnacentral:rRNA from 1 species
UACGUAGGGUGCGAGCGUUCCUCGGAAUUACUGGGCGUAAAGGGCUCGUAGGCGGCCAACUAAGGCGGGCGGGAAAUCCCCAGGCUCAACCUGGGAACUGCGUCUGAUACUGGAUGGCUUGAAUCCGGGAGAGGGAUGCAGAAUUCCAGGUGUAGCGGUGAAAUGCGUAGAUAUCUGGAGGAAUACCGGUGGCGAAGGCGGCAUCCUGGACCGGCAUUGACGCUGAGGAGCGAAAGCCAGGGGAGCAAACGGG